UCGUCACCUUUAAUUUUUUUAAAAAAAAAAAAAAAAAAAAAAGGUGUGUUUCUUUCAUUUCUUCUAAAAUUUGGAAAAAAAAAGAGAGAUUGCAAAUCCACCAACUUGAGCAACGUGCAUUUUAAUCAUUCAGUUUGAUAAUAUUGAACUUGCAUUUUCAUUUCUUUCAGUGUUUAAUUGGGCUCGGGUCAAUCCCACCAAUCUGUUUUUUUUUUUUUAAAAAAAAAAAAAAAAAUCAUCAAUCAAGAAGAUCCAAUUUAAUUUCCUGUUGGUGAGUCUCAGCGUCCACCGCGCACCCUUCUACCUCCCCUUCUUGACAAUUUAAAUUUCUGUUGGUGAGUCUCAGCGUCCACCGCGCACCCUUCUAUCCCCC
rnacentral:lncRNA from 1 species